rnacentral:rRNA from 1 species
UACGUAGGUGACAAGCGUUGUCCGGAUUUACUGGGCGUAAAGAGUGCGCAGGCGGUCGAUCAAGUCGAGUGUGAAAGCCCCCCGGCUCAACUGGGGAGGGGUCAUUCGAUACUGAUCGACUCGAAGGCAGGAGAGGGUAGUGGAAUUCCCGGUGUAGUGGUGAAAUGCGCAGAUAUCAGGAGGAACACCGAUGGCGAAGGCAGGUCUCUGGGCAUUAACUGACGCUGAGGAGCGAAAGCAUGGGGAGCGAACAGG